rnacentral:rRNA from 1 species
AGUCACUGACAUUAGAUACCCCGGUAGUCCCAGCCGUAAACUAUGCGCGUUAGGUGUACUGGUGACCACGAGUCACCGGGGUGCCGAAGGGAAACCGUGAAACGUGCCGCCUGGGAAGUACGGUCGCAAGGCUGAAACUUAAAGGAAUUGGCGGGGGAGCACCGCAACGGGAGGAGCGUGCGGUUUAAUUGGAUUCAACACCGUAAACUCACCAGGGAAGACUGUUACAUGAAAGCCGAGUUGAAGACUCUGCUAGAUUUUCAG